ACGUUUGUUUCUCUCAUUCAUUGCUAAAACGCGUUUUUUUUCCGGAAUGAAUAUUCACUUCUCUCAUCUCUUUUCCCUUCUUCGCCGUUUUAAUCCUCUCUCCAUCUCUUCCAUUUUUCCCUCACCGAUGCCGUUCCUGCAUUCCGCGAUCGACCUUCUCUCAGUCUCUGGCUGCGCCGCCACCUAACUCACAUCGCCGCUCCGAUCAUGGCCACUCCAAACCGGCCAGUCUAGCUUCUCCUUCUCAAGGGUGAAAUUGCGUUUCUGCCUUCUUAAUGUCUGAAGCUUCUCAGCCGUAGCACUAUUCGACACUCAGGUAUUUGCUCGCGAAAUCUGCAACGGAGCAAGGUCCCCACACUCAGGUAUCUUCAACUACGACGGCGCCACCGCAGGUAUUCAGGGCUUAAUUGAUGCGCUUUCUCUGGUUUAUGAAGUCCAUCAGAGGGUCCCAAAUUCUCCAGAUCCUCCAUAAAGUUCAUGGCUUCCUGCUCUUUCCUCUUCUAUGAAUUUACUCAUGGUUCUAAUUGAGAGUUGAUAUUGAUUUACAGGUACGAGUUGAAGUAUGCUCCCAAUUUGGUUUAUGUUUUACCAAAAUGCUGACAGAACAUGCAGGAGCAAUGGAGGAUGAAGUUCAUUCUCAAACUGAUUUGCUAGCUGCCAAAGACCAAGUCAAGCAUGGUAUUUAUCAUCUAGAGUCUAGAGGAUUGGAUGUUUGUCAUAUCUCGGCAUUCAACUCAUUACAAGGAGGAUUGUUGUAGGGACUGAGACUAGAUUGUGUCACCCGGAACUGCUGUGGCAGUUGAAACAGCUUCCAUCUUCAGGGGUUUCUAACAUUUCAAAACUCUAAGCAUUAUGAUGUUGAAUGUUGCAUGCGCUCACUCUGGGAUCAUACAAAUGGGGAUCACCAUGUUUCGAGAUCUGACUUAAGAUCAAAUAGUGAAGGAGAUCCACUUUGGAAAGACGAAAAAUGUUGUGUUGACACUUGAUAAGUAGUGGAAAAGAUGUGGAGGAAAAAGAGAUAGGAAUAAAAGAGAGAAACUAUGUUGUGUUGACACUUGAUAAUUAGUGGAAAAGAUGUGAAGGAAGGAGAGAUAGAAAGAAAAGAGAAAUUAUGAAAUGCAAAUGUAUCAUUGUUGUUAGAUGCAGCGGAGGCUGCAGCAAAAUUACUUCACGAUCUUACAAAGAUAAUGAAAUCAGUGAGAAUGAAUGUGUUGAAGAACUUA